rnacentral:rRNA from 1 species
AGAGUGAACGCUGGCGGUAGGCCUAACACAUGCAAGUCGAACGGCAGCACAGGAGAGCUUGCUCUCUGGGUGGCGAGUGGCGGACGGGUGAGGAAUACAUCGGAAUCUACCUUUUCGUGGGGGAUAACGUAGGGAAACUUACGCUAAUACCGCAUAAGACCUUCGGGUGAAAGCCGGGGACCUUCGGGCCUGGCGCGGAUAGAUGAGCCGAUGUCGAUUAGCUUGUUGGCGGGUAAAGCCCACCAAGCGACGAUCCGUAGCUGGUCUGAGAGGAUGAUCAGCCACACUGGAACUGAGACACGGUCCAGACCUCCGUACGGGAGCAGCAGUGGGAUAGUGGACAGUGGCGCAAGCCUGACUCCAGCCAUACCGCGUGCCGAAGGAAGAGG